rnacentral:rRNA from 1 species
CAGUCGCCGCGGGAAUACGUAGGGUGCAAGCGUUAAUCGGAAUUACUGGGCGUAAGCGUGCGCAGGCGGUUAUAUAAGACAGAUGUGAAAUCCCCGGGCUCAACCUGGGAACUGCAUUUGUGACUGUAUAGCUAGAGUACGGCAGAGGGGGAUGGAAUUCCGCGUGUAGCAGUGAAAUGCGUAGAUAUGCGGAGGAACACCGAUGGCGAAGGCAAUCCCCUGGGCCUGUACUGACGCUCAUGCACGAAAGCGUGGGGAGCAAACAGGAUUAGAUACCCGUGUAGUCCCUGUCUCUUAUACA